rnacentral:rRNA from 1 species
CCUACGGGUGGCAGCAGUAGGGAAUAUUGCACAAUGGGGGAAACCCUGAUGCAGCGACGCCGCGUGAGUGAAGAAGUAAUUCGGUAUGUAAAGCUCUAUCAGCAGGGAAGAAAAUGACGGUACGUGAGUAAGAAGCCCCGGCUAACUACGUGCAAGCAGCCGCGGUAAUACGUAGGGGGCAAGCGUGAUCGGGAUUUACUGGGUGUAAAGGGAGCGUAGACGGGAUUGCAAGUCUGGAGUGAAAGGCGGGGGCUCAACCCCCGGACUGCUCUGGAAACUGUACGGCUGGAGGGCAGGAGAGGUAAGUGGAAUUCCUAGUGUAGCGGUGAAAUGCGUAGAUAUUUGGAGGAACACCAGUGGCGAAGGCGGCUUACUGGACUGUUACUGACGUUGAGGCUCGAAAGCGUGGGGAGCAAACAGGAUUAGAUACCCUUGUAGUC